UAGGGAAUCUUCGGCAAUGGACGAAAGUCUGACCGAGCAACGCCGCGUGAGUGAAGAAGGGUUUCGGAUCGUAAAACUCUGUUGUUAGAGAAGAACAAGGACGUUAGUAACUGAACGUCCCCUGACGGUAUCUAACCAGAAAGCCACGGCUAACUACGUGCCAGCAGCCGCGGUAAUACGUAGGUGGCAAGCGUUGUCCGGAUUUAUUGGGCGUAAAGCGAGCGCAGGCGGUUUCUUAAGUCUGAUGUGAAAGCCCCCGGCUCAACCGGGGAGGGUCAUUGGAAACUGGGAGACUUGAGUGUAGAAGAGGGGGGUGGAAUUCCAUGUGUAGCGGUGAAGUGCGUAGAUAUAUGGGAGAACACCAGUGGCGAAGGCGGCUCUCUGGUCUGUAACUGACGCUGAGGCUCGAGAGCGUGGGGAGCAAACAGG
rnacentral:rRNA from 1 species